CCAACACAACUAUCUAGGUAGUCCCUAAAAAUAUCAGUUAGUGCAUCAUAAAAGAUAUCAAGUAUUUUAUUUUUCUUAAAAAGAUGAUCAGGCAAAACAUUAAGUAGUUGGAGAAGUCUCCCCCAAGCUUGAGGGAGAUUCUCUUCUUCAGUUUGCACAAAGCUAUAUAUUCCCUAUAAGAUAGCUUGUUUCUUAUGAGCAGAGACAUAUUUUUCAAAGAAAUAAUAAAUCAUAUCCUAGGGACUACGCACACAAACAGGAGCAAGAGUAUUAAACCAUAUUUUAGCAUCACCCUUUAACGAAAAAGGAAACAACUUAAGAAUAUAAUAAUAGCAAUUUUUUCUCAUGAGCAAAUAGUGUAGUUAUAUCAUUCAACUUAGUAAGGUGUGCCACGACGGUUUCAGUUUCAUAACCAUAGAAAGAAUUAGAUUCAACCAAAAUAAUUAACUCAAGAUCGACAAAGAAUUCGUAAUACUUAUCAGUAACAAAGAUAGGUGAAGUAGCAAAGAUAGGUGAAUCAUAAUUCUCAGUUUCGGUAAUUUCAUCAGUUUCAGUGUUCUUAAAUUUUUAGCUUUAGCAAGUUGUUCGUCAAGAAAUUCACCUAGUGGCAUAGUAUCAUCAAGCAAAGUACUAGCAUCAUUCAUAGCAGAAGUAACAUCAUCAAUUACUUGCGACAUCGAAAUUAAUAGCAGGUGAUGGUGUCACAACUUACUUAAAACAGAAGGUGAAUUAAGUGCAGACAGAGACGGAGCUCCCGUGUAAGGACUGGUGUCAACUGACACCAGUGCCAAUAGUAACCUCAAGUUAUCUUGUUAAUAUGAUUUGUCUUUGACCCCAGUCCAAAAAGAUGACUGACCCCAGCCCAGCCGGAGAAGCCCGAAGCACAACCUAAUUCCAGCCCAGCCAUAGAAGCCCACUGUCCCUAAAAAGAUCUAUGGUCGUUCCACCAAAUUCCUAUUUGCCGCUGCGCACAGCCCAAAAGUGCCCCACCAAGUUUCUCUCUCUUCAUCUCAUCACCUCCUCUCAAUCCCUUCCGGUGUGAUAAUUCCUUGCUCGUGCCGCCUGAUGGAAUUACAGAGAGACGAGCGUACGAAUCAGCGGGAUUUUGGUCUAAUCUGGAGACGCCGGCCGGCCGAUUGUUGCGGCAUAAUCUGGUGCUAAUCCACCAAGCCUAGAUUUGCUCUUCCCAGGAGGUUAUGGACAGAUUUUUGUGGAAACGGCCACUGCCAUCUGUCGCAGCAGGGACUUCAAGGUCACUUAGUAGACAAGAUCAUAGUCAUGUAUCGAUUUUCCAUGUGGAGAAAGAUAUAUUUUCUACUAUUACAAAUGAUGAUGUGAUUGAUCCAUUUAAGAAGAUGGAAGAUUGAGAAGGGAAGUUAUAAAAUAAGGUAACAACUGAAGUGCUUGAAGUUAACCUUUUUGCUUUAUGACUUCGCUUAGCCUAUACUCGGUAUGACUUUUUUGAUUUAAUAAUAAUAUUACUGAAUCACUGUAUAUAUUCUCUCUUUAUGCCGCACUCCAACAUUAUGUAUGUUGCGCUGCUAUAGUUAGUGCUAGAGUGGACAAAGCUUGACACCAGUGCUCAUUUUUUCUAGCUUCGUCCCUGAGUGCAGAGCCAGGUAAUAGUUCCUUACCUCCCCUCGUCCUAGAGGGAACGAUCUUGGUUCUAUCAUCCUUCAGAUUCUUCAUAGUGACCAAUAGAUAUAAAUCACAAGUGACUCAUCAAAUAGAUCUAUGCUACCCGGCAACGACGCUAGAAAAAAUGUCUUAAUGACCCACAAGUAUAGAGGAUCACAAUAGUUUUCGAGGGUAAAAUAUUCAACCUAAAUUUAUCAAUUCGACACAUGAGGAGCCAAAUAAAUAUUUGCAAGUAUUAGCAGUUGAGUUGUUAAUUCAACCAAACCUGAAGACUAAAUAUCUGUAGCAGAGUGAUCAGUAGCAUAGUAGUAUAUGAUAGUUUGUUAGUGAUAGCAACGGUAGUAACAGUAGCAGUAAUAGUUUUGUAGCAAUUGUGACAAUAGUAGCAAUAAUAUUAACUUAGCAAACAUCAAUAUGUGAAAAACUCGUAAGCAUUGGAUCGGUGAUGGAUAAUUAUGUUGGGUAACAUUGAUCGUGUAACAGUUAUAAUCUAGGGUGACACAGAACUAGCUCCAAUUCAUCAAUAUAAUGUAGGCAUGUAUUCCGCAUAUAGUCAUACGUGCUUGCGAUAAGAACUUGCAUGUCAUCUUUUGUCCUACCCUCCCUUGGCAGCGGGGUCCAUGAGGAAACUAAAAGAUAUUAAUGCCUCCUUUUAAUAGAGGACUGAAACAAAACAUUAACACAUGGUGAAUAAAUGAACUCCUCAAGCUACAAUAAUCAUCGAAAAGAAUCUCAAUUAUUGUCACCUUGGAGUAUGUGGACCAUAACACAUAAUAGGUGUGUAUAACUUGCAAGAUAUAAUGAAUAACACAAAUAUAUUCAUGAAAACAUAAAGGGUUCAUAUCUGAAAUCAUGGCACUCGGGUCCUAGUGACAAGCAUUAAGCAU